CCGCGAGUACGCUCGAAAUUAUUAUUCGCGCGUUACGUUCCCCGGGGUCGUUUCGUUCAAACGGGAAAUCCGAGGUUCCCGACGGUUCUUCGUGAAUAUCGUUUGACAAAACGCUGACCGCGAUUCGUGUGCCGAUUGAUCGGGUUUCCAUCGAUUUCCGGAUUACCUUGCGUUCUAUACUAAGUAUAGGAGUAUACGACCUCACCCAACCUUCUACGGUUUUAUCGAAUGUCAUUUUUUUUUUUUUUUUCAUACGGUCAAUCGCUGAGUACCCUACUAAGUCGUGUAAAAUACGGCGAUAAUAAACGGGGCGCAGUUUUUAUUAAGUAUUUAUUUAACGGG